CCGUGAAACUGCGAAUGGCUCAUUAAAUCAGUUAUCGUUUAUUUGAUAGUACCUUACUACUUGGAUAACCGUGGUAAUUCUAGAGCUAAUACAUGCUAAAAACCCCGACUUCGGAAGGGGUGUAUUUAUUAGAUAAAAAACCAAUGCCCUUCGGGGCUCUUUGGUGAUUCAUAAUAACUUAACGGAUCGCAUGGCCUUGCGCCGGCGACGGUUCAUUCAAAUUUCUGCCCUAUCAACUUUCGAUGGUAAGGUAUUGGCUUACCAUGGUUUCAACGGGUAACGGGGAAUUAGGGUUCGAUUCCGGAGAGGGAGCCUGAGAAACGGCUACCACAUCCAAGGAAGGCAGCAGGCGCGCAAAUUACCCAAUCCCGACACGGGGAGGUAGUGACAAUAAAUACUGAUACAGGGCUCUUUUGGGUCUUGUAAUUGGAAUGAGUACAAUUUAAACCCCUUAACGAGGAACAAUUGGAGGGCAAGUCUGGUGCCAGCAGCCGCGGUAAUUCCAGCUCCAAUAGCGUAUAUUAAAGUUGUUGCAGUUAAAAAGCUCGUAGUUGAAACUUGGGCCUGGCUGGCCGGUCCGCCUCACCGCGUGUACUGGUCCGGCCGGGCCUUUCCUUCUGGAGAGCCUCAUGCCCUUCACUGGGUGUGUUGGGGAACCAGGACUUUUACUUUGAAAAAAUUAGAGUGUUCAAAGCAGGCCUUUGCUCGAAUACGUUAGCAUGGAAUAAUAGAAUAGGACGUGCGAUCCUAUUUUGUUGGUUUCUAGGACCGCCGUAAUGAUUAAUAGGGAUAGUCGGGGGCAUCAGUAUUCAAUUGUCAGAGGUGAAAUUCUUGGAUUUAUUGAAGACUAACUACUGCGAAAGCAUUUGCCAAGGAUGUUUUCAUUAAUCAGUGAACGAAAGUUAGGGGAUCGAAGACGAUCAGAUACCGUCGUAGUCUUAACCGUAAACUAUGCCGACUAGGGAUCGGGCGAUGUUAUUAUUUUGACUCGCUCGGCACCUUACGAGAAAUCAAAG
rnacentral:rRNA from 1 species